CGCAGUGGCUCACACUUGUAAUACUAACAUUUUGGGAGUCCGAGGCAGAAGGAUCGUUUAAGGCCAGGAGUUUGAGACCAGCCUAGGCAACAAAGUGAGACUUCGUCUCUACAAAAAAAUAAAUUUUAAAUUAUUAAAAAAACUGAUAAGAGGGCAGGGGGAGAUGGGUUUCUAGGCAGGGGAAUAGGAUAUGACAAACUAAGAAAAACUCAGCUUGUCCUAAGCAUAAAAUUAAAGGGGGGAAGAGGUAGCUAACCUGGGAUCAGGUUUUAAAGGCUCCCAAGUCUUGUAAGGGACCCGGACAUUAUCCUCAAAGCAGUGGGGAGCUUAUUUAAGAAAGUGAAAAGAGGCUGAUCUUGAACUCCCGACCUCAGGUGAUCCACCCGCCUCGGCCUCCGAAAGUGCUGGGAUUACAGGCAUGAGCCACCACGCCCGGCCCAAAUGCUGUUUUAAAGGCCAUCACGUCUCCUGGGUUCCCUAACACAGUCCAGCUUUUUCCUGGCAUUACCUGGACCACCUGGUGCCAUGCCACCU
rnacentral:antisense_RNA from 1 species